rnacentral:rRNA from 1 species
UACGAAGGGGGCUAGCGUUGCUCGGAAUUACUGGGCGUAAAGGGCGCGUAGGCGGCGCUGCUAGUCAGGCGUGAAAUUCCUGGGCUUAACCUGGGGACUGCGCUUGAUACGGCAGAGCUAGAGGGCGGAAGAGGGUCGUGGAAUUCCCCAGUGUAGAGGUGAAAUUCGUAGAUAUUGGGAAGAACACCGGUGGCGAAGGCGGCGACCUGGUCCGUUACUGACGCUGAGGCGCGACAGCGUGGGGAGCAAACAGG